ACCUAACUUUCCCUUAAUUCUUUCAUUUCCAGGCCACAUGGUUCAUCUGUGUUUUCAAACUACUGCAAAUCUCCAAACAAUUUUCUAAUAUAUUUAUUGAAGAAGACCUGCAUAACAGGCAAUCAAGCGAGAUCCAGACACCCGACACCCAGGACACAAGGGCAAACAAGCAAGCUCCGUACUAACCGACCACGUGUCCAGUAAAGAAGUCCUGCCACUUGACGGCAUACUCGCUUUCGUCUUUACCAUCUACCACCACGACUUUGAAAUUCUGGGAAAAGCGUUCAGUACUUGACGUCAGGUAUAAUUUAAAAUGCCUAAGGAAAGAUUGCGUCCAUAUUUUACUCAAAGCACAUUAAAGUUUUGCACAGAAUUUUACUCCGA